CCUAUCAACUCGUUGGUAAGGUAGUGGCUUACCAAGGUUGCAACGGGUAACGGGGAAUCAGGGUUCGAUUCCGGAGAGGGAGCCUGAGAAACGGCUACCACAUCCAAGGAAGGCAGCAGGCGCGCAAAUUACCCAAUCCAGACAAUGGGAGGUGGUGACCAGAAGUACUGGGUGGUGGACAUUGUCUACUAAUCCCGGAAUGAGCGUAAAGUAAAAAAUUAGUCGAGUAACAACUGGAGGGCAAGUCUGGUGCCAGCAGCCGCGGUAAUUCCAGCUCCAGUAGCAUGUCGUAAAGUUGUUGCGUUUAAAACGCUCGUAGUUGGAUCAUACGGUGUUAUUCAGUUGAUUUGCGUCAUGUAGACGUUCAAUUCAAUGUUGUCUGAUGGUUGGGUAAACUAACCUGAUGAUAAUAUUGUAGUUUGCUGCGUAGAUUGUUUGCUGGAUAGCACUACUUGCAUGUAAGAAUGAUGGUUGGCCUUAAGUGCGUUGGCCAUUGUGUCUUACAGGGUGUGCCUUGAAUAAAUCAAAGUGCUUAAAGCAGGUAUGUGCCUGAAUGAUACAGCAUGGAACGAACAAAUGUGUAUAAUGUAUGAUGAUGUGUAGUUAUGCGUUAUUGUACAUAUCACCAGCCACCAUGUACGGAUGUUGGUUUCCGUGAUGGGGUGAUGAUUAAAACGAGCGGUUGGGGGCAUUGGUAUUUGGCCGCGAGAGGUGAAAUUCUUAGACCGGCCAAGGACUAACAAAAGCGAAGGCAUUUGCCAAGACCGUCUCGAUUGAUCAAGAACGAUAGUGAGAGGUUCGAAGACGAUCAGAUACCGUCCUAGUUCUCACCAUAAACGAUGCCGACCCGGGAUCAGUUUUGAGCUAAAUAUAACGCUCGAGGUUGGUCCCCCUGGGAAACCUAAAGUGUUUGGGUUACGGGGGGAGUAUGGUCGCAAGGCUGAAACUUAAAGGAAUUGACGGAAGGGCACCACCAGGGGUGGAGCCUGCGGCUUAAUUUGACUCAACACGGGAAAACUCACCAGCUCAGGACGUCAAAAGGAUAGACAGACUGAUAGAUCUUUCUUGAUAUGAUGGUUGGUGGUGCAUGGCCGUUCUUAGUUCGUGAAUUGCUUUGUCAGAUUGAUUUCGGUAACGAACGAGACCAAAAUCUCUAUUUACGACGUUGAAUGGUUAACGUAUGUUGGCCCUACAUGUAUGAUAUAACUGAAGGAUACGUCCGUAGGUUGUAUUGUAUGUGUUGACUUUAACGAUGUCAUAUGCAGCAAUGUAUGUGACUGCAUAGAGAGACAACUGACAAUAAUUAUAAAAUCAGAGGAAGUUUGGCAAUAACAGGUCUGUGAUGCCCUUAGACGUGCUGGGCUGCACGCGCGCUACAAUGAUAACGGCAACAAGUUAUCUGAUCCGACAGGAUUGGGGAAUCUACAAUCGUUAUCGUGAUGGGGAUUGUUCGUUGUAAUUCGAACAUGAAAUAGGAAUCCCUUGUACGUGUACUUCAUCUAGAGUACGCGGAAUGGGUCCCUGCCCUUUGUACACACCGCCCGUCGCUACUACCGAGUGAAUGGCGUCAUGAUGCGUUG
rnacentral:rRNA from 1 species